UACGUAGGGGGCAAGUGUUGUCCGGAAUUAUUGGGCGUAAAGCGCGCGCAGGCGGUUCCUUAAGUCUGAUGUGAAAGCCCACGGCUUAACCGUGGAGGGUCAUUGGAAACUGGGGAACUUGAGUGCAGAAGAGGAGAGUGGAAUUCCACGUGUAGCGGUGAAAUGCGUAGAUAUGUGGAGGAACACCAGUGGCGAAGGCGACUCUCUGGUCUGUAACUGACGCUGAGGCGCGAAAGCGUGGGGAGCGAACAGG
rnacentral:rRNA from 1 species